rnacentral:rRNA from 1 species
GCGUGGGAAUCUGCCCUUGGGUUCGGAAUAACAGUUAGAAAUGACUGCUAAUACCGGAUGAUGACUUCGGUCCAAAGAUUUAUCGCCCAAGGAUGAGCCCGCGUAGGAUUAGCUUGUUGGUGAGGUAAAAGCUCACCAAGGCGACGAUCCUUAGCUGGUCUGAGAGGAUGAUCAGCCACACUGGGACUGAGACACGGCCCAGACUCCUACGGGAGGCAGCAGUAGGGAAUCUUCCGCAAUGGACGAAAGUCUGACGGAGCAACGCCGCGUGAGUGAAGAAGGUUUUCGGAUCGUAAAACU